rnacentral:rRNA from 1 species
UACGUAGGGUGCAAGCGUUUAAUCGGAAUUACUGGGCGUAAAGCGUGCGCAGGCGGUGAUGUAAGACAGAUGUGAAAUCCCCCGGGCUCAACCUGGGAACUGCAUUUGUGACUGCAUCGCUGGAGUGCGGCAGAGGGGGAUGGAAUUCCGCGUGUAGCAGUGAAAUGCGUAGAUAUGCGGAGGAACACCGAUGGCGAAGGCAAUCCCCUGGGCCUGCACUGACGCUCAUGCACGAAAGCGUGGGGAGCAAACAGG